UACGUAGGGGGCAAGCGUUGUUCGGAAUUACUGGGCGUAAAGGGCGCGUAGGCGGCACAGCAAGUCGGGUGUGAAAUCUCGGGGCUUAACUCCGAAACUGCAUUCGAUACUGCCGUGCUUGAGGACUGGAGAGGAGACUGGAAUUUACGGUGUAGCGGUGAAAUGCGUAGAUAUCGUAAGGAAGACCAGUGGCGAAGGCGGGUCUCUGGACAGUUCCUGACGCUGAGGCACGAAGGACAGGGGAGCAAACGGG
rnacentral:rRNA from 1 species